GGAAGGGAAGCUGCUGCCGCCGCCCCGCCCAGGCAAGGACGCUGCUAGGGCUGUUUCUCCGCCCGCCCGCCCGCCGCGUCCCUGCGCACAUUCGCCUCCUCUGAUCCGUUUCAGGGGCUGCUGGUGAAGCCGUCAAAACAACAACACAAAACAACUUUCCUGCAUUGCAAGGGGUUGGACUAGAUGACCCUGCGGGUCCCUUCCAAAUCUACAUUUCUAGGAUUCCGACAACAACAACGACGAAUCUCCAAAAACAGGCAGAUACGUUUGGUGGGGGAGAGCACCCUCCGCGCCAGCUCCCUUUCCCCCCGGGGCCCAGAUCCAACUCCUGCGCCUCGCAACGAAGUCCCGCCUGACACACGGAAGCUUUAAAAGAUCCCUUCCCCGCCUCUUUCUUCCUCUGAAAGGCGACCAAGAAAUUAAGCAGCUCACUUUGGGAAGUGAAGUCACUCGAGGAGGAAACUUCGCUCCCCGCCGCGCCUGGGCCGGCCCUGCUGGAUCCGAAGAGGAGGAGAACUUCUUUUUUUUUUUAAAGCUAGCAGGAUAUUUGCUGGGGUUAGAUAAGGAGCGAGACCCCGGAGCGCGCUUCAGGACUCGGGGCGCUCCCUCCGGCUCCUGCAGGAUUUUGGCUGGCUGGUCAGGAGAGGCAAGGAGCCCCCACUCGGCUCUCCUCUCCCGGACAUCUGGGGGGAUAUUUUUUUUCCCCAGCUGUCCAGACAGAUCUAUUUAAAGGUGCCCGACGCUGCGAUCCUGGCUCUAUUUAUCCGGAAAUUCAACAGGAUACAGAUCCGUUGCAGGAUCCCAGUUUGAGCCAUCAAUUCCCGUUUUCCUUCACAUGCAAUUUGUAAAAUAAAUAAAUCAUUCAUAAGGCGUU